AUGCACGCUGGCGGCGUGCCUCAUCCCUGCCAGUCGAGCGAACAGACGAGGAGCUUGCUCCUCUGACGUUAGCGGCGGACGGGUGAGUAACACGUGGAUAACCUACCUAUAAGACUGGGAUAACUUCGGGAAACCGGAGCUAAUACCGGAUAAUAUAUUGAACCGCAUGGUUCAAUAGCGAAAGACGGUUUUGCUGUCACUUAUAGAUGGAUCCGCGCCGCAUUAGCUAGUUGGUAAGGUAACGGCUUACCAAGGCAACGAUGCGUAGCCGACCUGAGAGGGUGAUCGGCCACACUGGAACUGAGACACGGUCCAGACUCCUACGGGAGGCAGCAGUAGGGAAUCUUCCGCAAUGGGCGAAAGCUUGACGGAGCAACGCCGCGUGAGUGAUGAAGGUCUUCGGAUCGUAAAACUCUGUUAUUAGGGAAGAACAAAUGUGUAAGUAACUAUGCACGUCUUGACGGUACCUAAUCAGAAAGCCACGGCUAACUACGUG
rnacentral:rRNA from 1 species